GCAGUCGUGGCCGAGCGUUUAAGGCGAUGAACUAGAAAUCCAUUGGGGUCGCCCCGCACAGGUUCGAAUCCUGUCGACUGCG
rnacentral:tRNA from 1 species